rnacentral:misc_RNA from 1 species
UUAAGUUCAGCGGGUAGUCCUACCUGAUUUGAGAUCAAACGUUAAAAAAGCUGUCUUCGCUGAGGAGAGACAUUUGUGAGCCCCAGCGAACCUCCAUCACUGGAGGUUACCUGGCAGGGAACCACAAGCGUAGAUAGUUAUCACACCUGUGAUGCCACCAAACACUGGCAAGCUGAUUUGUUUGAGAGGAGCCGACAGUA